rnacentral:rRNA from 1 species
GACGUAGGAUGCGAGCGUUGUUCGGAAUUAUUGGGCGUAAAGCGUGCGUAGGCGGCUACUUAAGUCUGGUGUUAAAGCUAGGGGCUCAACCCCUGUGUUGCACUGGAAACUGGGUGGCUUGAGUACGGUAGGGGAAGGUGGAAUUCCGAGUGUAGCGGUGAAAUGCGUAGAUAUUCGGAAGAACACCGGUGGCGAAGGCGACCUUCUGGGCCGAUACCGACGCUGAGGAGCGAAAGCGUGGGGAGCGAACAGG